rnacentral:sRNA from 1 species
UCAAAUGCCAGCUGUCUCCAUGACAGUAGGACAAGCCACAACAAAAUAGUGCCUUCAACAAGCCUCAAAGACUGCAGCAAUGUCAGCGUGGACCACACAAGGAAUCCAAGCGUGGCAAUUCCCCCACUUACACACAAUCUUUCUGCAGUUGCUCCCAGCAUUAAUUCUGGAAUGGGGACUGCGACUAUACCAAUUCAGGGUUACAGAGUGGAUGAGAAAACUAAGAAGUGUUCUAUUCCAUUUGUUAAACCGAACAGACAUUCCCCAUCAGGCAUUUAUAACAUUAAUGUGACCACAUUAGUAAGUAAGCAGUUCUCAGUAGUAGAAGAGCAAACACCAGUCAGCUCUAGACUUUUAUUAAAAUUAAAUAUGAUAGUGAAGAAUUGAGAAUUUUGUUUGGAUACACAUAAAGUGAAACCUUAAUUGUGCAUAUAUUAUCCCAACCCAUCAUAGUCAUAAACGUGAAA